UACGAAGGGGGGCUAGCGUUUGCUCGGAAUUACUGGGCGUAAAGCGCGCGUAGGCGGCUUUGUAAGUUAGAGGUGAAAGCCCAGGGCUCAACCCUGGAAUUGCCUUUAAGACUGCAUCGCUUGAACAUCGGAGAGGUAAGUGGAAUUCCGAGUGUAGAGGUGAAAUUCGUAGAUAUUCGGAAGAACACCAGUGGCGAAGGCGACUUACUGGACGAUUGUUGACGCUGAGGUGCGAAAGCGUGGGGAGCGAACAGGAUUA
rnacentral:rRNA from 1 species